rnacentral:rRNA from 1 species
UGCCAAGAGAUGAGUUCUCCCAAUCUAAGAGAUUGUAAGGGUUGUUGUAGACUACGACGUAGAUAGGUCUGGUGUGUAAGUGUAGUGAUAUAUUGAGCUAACAGAUACUAAUUGCCCGAGAGGCUUAACUAUACAACGCUCAAG